AUUGGACGCUGGCGGCAUGCCUUACACAUGCAAGUCGAACGGCAGCACGGGGCAACCUGGUGGCGAGUGGCGAACGGGUGAGUAAUGCAUCGGAACGUACCUUUCAGUGGGGGAUAACGUAGCGAAAGUUACGCUAAUACCGCAUAUUCUGUGAGCAGGAAAGCAGGGGAUCGCAAGACCUUGCGCUGAUUGAGCGGCCGAUGUCAGAUUAGCUAGUUGGUGAGGUAAAGGCUCACCAAGGCGACGAUCUGUAGCGGGUCUGAGAGGAUGAUCCGCCACACUGGAACUGAGACACGGUCCAGACUCCUACGGGAGGCAGCAGUGGGGAAUUUUGGACAAUGGGGGCAACCCUGAUCUAGCCAUGCCGCGUGAGUGAAGAAGGCCUUCGGGUUGUAAAGCUCUUUCGGCCGGGAAGAAAUCGCACGGGCUAAUACCCUGUGUGGAUGACGGUACCGGAAUAAGAAGCACCGGCUAACUACGUGCCAGCCGCCGCCGUAAAAC
rnacentral:rRNA from 1 species